UACGUAGGUGGCAAGCGUUGUCCGGAAUUAUUGGGCGUAAAGCGCGCGCAGGCGGCCUUUUAAGUCUGAUGUGAAAGCCCACGGCUCAACCGUGGAAGGUCAUUGGAAACUGAAAGGCUUGAGUACAGAAGAGGAAAGCGGAAUUCCACGUGUAGCGGUGAAAUGCGUAGAGAUGUGGAGGAACACCAGUGGCGAAGGCGGCUUUCUGGUCUGUAACUGACGCUGAGGCGCGAAAGCGUGAGGAGCAAACAGG
rnacentral:rRNA from 1 species